rnacentral:rRNA from 1 species
GAUGAACGCUAGCUACAGGCUUAACACAUGCAAGUCGAGGGGCAGCAUGGUCUUAGCUUGCUAAGGCCGAUGGCGACCGGCGCACGGGUGAGUAACACGUAUCCAACCUGCCGUCUACUCUUGGACAGCCUUCUGAAAGGAAGAUUAAUACAAGAUGGCAUCAUGAGUCCGCAUGUUCACAUGAUUAAAGGUAUUCCGGUAGACGAUGGGGAUGCGUUCCAUUAGAUAGUAGGCGGGGUAACGGCCCACCUAGUCUUCGAUGGAUAGGGGUUCUGAGAGGAAGGUCCCCCACAUUGGAACUGAGACACGGUCCAAACUCCUACUGGAGGCAGCAGUGAGGAAUAUUGGUCAAUGGGCGAGAGCCUGAACCAGCCAAGUAGCGUGAAGGAUGACUGCCCUAUGGGUGGUAAACUUCUUUUAUAAAGGAAUAAAGUCGGGUAGGGAUACCCGUUUGCAUGUACUUUAUGAAUAAGGAUCGGCUAACUCCGUG